GAGGCCCAGGGGUCCACAGACAGGUAUAUAUAACCACCAAAGAAUGUGACAGUUGGUAGCUGAGUUCUGUGACUGUUGGAGUCUAAAGAAAUGCAUAGAUUCCCUUUGAAGAUAAACAACCAAAAAUUGAGCUCUUGUUCUCUAUUAUUUCAUUUCCAAGUCUGCUAAAAGAAAGAAAAAAAAAUAGAAAAACAAAAUCAAUUAACUAAUUUUUGUAAUUAAACAUCUUCCAGGAGUUUACUUGAGUAAAGGUUACAGAUUACAAAUUUUAAAGGUGGCUACAGGAAAAGGAAUUUUAAAACACCUUAUAUAUAAGGCUACACGGACAAAACAAAGUCACUGACCUCUUCAAGAAGCCUACCUUCUGUCACAGGAAAUAGCAUGUGUACAUGUAUCACCACAUUCAAGUUCCAGAGUCAUCUCAGAAAAGCUUUGGAUCAAAUGGAAUUCAUGAACAGUGACUUACAUAGUAAUGUUACCUGUGCUGGGAAUGUACAAUAUUAGUUUUCUGAAGACUCAGAAGUUUCGGUUUCUGCGCCAAGACCUUCUCACUUCCUCAAU